CUGUUGCAGAGGAGGAGCCCUGAGUGGACAUAAAAAGAAGUCGUCACCUUUGUCAGGUCCUUUCUAUCCUGCAGACUCCACGUCUGCCCGAAGGAUUCCGGGACCAGGAGGUGUCUCGCUAUUGGCGAUGCCAUGUCCCACAGAGUCCCACUCUUUCUGCUUGCACCUUCUCACGUGGGCGUAGUGGCGUAAAAUCCUUGCUCCCAAGGGCAUAGGCACUGGGACCUCGUCUGCUCCGAUCUGUGACGUCAGCGAGGGAUUCUGAUUGGUCGAAGCUCCCUGCUGAGGGAUUUUGAUUGGUCAAGACUCCCAUCGUUGUCUCCAGGCCUGGAAGAAUGGGUCUCAGUGGACAGCGGCCGGGUCGCCCCCGCGACCCGCCAACCGCGCAUCAGACAUAAAGAAGCACCAAACAAACAAAAGCUACCAAACAAAACUUCCCGAACACAGUAACAUUUUCAGUAAAUUUUGCACUUAGGUAGACGAUUUUAACACUCAUAGUGUUUGUCCUUCUGCCUAAGUGUUGAAGUAACACUUGAAAAUGUUACUGUGUUUUCCCCCCUCCCCUUCUGGUGGCUUCUGGUUGUCUGUUGCUUGGUUGGUGGGUCGUGGGGAUGGACCUACUCGUAAAAUAUUCCAUCCCAACUCAUUUCCCUACUGCUGAACUGCAUAUUUUCUUUAACAUAAAACCCAAUUAAAAACAGCAAAAUCUUGUAACUGAAA